GUCGUGAGAUGUUGGGUUAAGUCCCGCAACGAGCGCAACCCUUGUCUUAUGUUGCCAGCACGUGAUGGUGGGGACUCAUGAGAGACUGCCGGGGUCAACUCGGAGGAAGGUGGGGAUGACGUCAAAUCAUCAUGCCCCUUAUGUCCAGGGCUUCACACAUGCUACAAUGGCCGGUACAG
rnacentral:rRNA from 1 species